UGGGGAAUAUUGCACAAUGGGCGAAAGCCUGAUGCAGCAACGCCGCGUGAGUGAUGAAGGCCUUCGGGUUGUAAAGCUCUGUCUUCUGGGACGAUAAUGACGGUACCAGAGGAGGAAGCCACGGCUAACUACGUGCCAGCAGCCGCGGUAAUACGUAGGUGGCAAGCGUUGUCCGGAUUUACUGGGCGUAAAGGAUGCGUAGGCGGAUACUUAAGUCAGAUGGGAAAAUCCCGGGCUUAACUUGGGAACUGCAUUUGAAACUGGGUUUCUAGAGUGCGGGAGAUGAAAAUGGAAUUCCUAGGGUAGCGGUGAAAUGCGUAGAGAUUAGGAAGAACACCAGUGGCGAAGGCGACUUUCUGGACCGUAACUGACGCUGAGGCAUGAAAGCGUGGGGAGCAAAC
rnacentral:rRNA from 1 species